UUCUGUGUCUUUUUUGGUUUUGGCCUUAUUACCUACGACAGGAUUUUCACGACAAAUUGGAGAAUUGGAGUUGGAUCCAUUUCAGCUGACACCCGGACACUUCUCCACAUUUGCGGAGUGAGUCCUAUUUGGGAGGUAUUCACAGUCAUCAUCUUUGAUCACUAAUUACGUACAACAUCCUUACAACUAGCAGGUAUAAGUAACCUCAUUUUUCUGAAGAACAAAUGCAGACAAACGUCACUGCCUAAAGGUCUGGGGUCCAACAAAAAUCCUAACAAGAAAUGAGCCCACUCCACCAAACAGAACUGUAAUCAUUCCGUCCCAUGCUCCACAGCUUAUCAAUCGCUCUUGCAUGCAUCGAUGUAUCAUGUUACUCAGUCCACCUGAGAUAACUGUGAAUGGCACCAUUUUACAGAGAGGGAAACUGAGGCCCAGAGAGACCUCAAGUCUCACUGAAGGUCCCAUGGCACAGCCAGGACUAAGAGCUAGGCCAUCUGGCCACAUGUCUGAGCUGUGGCUCUUGAUGCUCUGAGCUUCUGUGAAGACCCAGUGGACAGUGCUGUGGAUGGAAGGAGGAGGUCUUCACUUAGAGGACGAUUGUGCCUCUUAUUCUGCUUGGCAUCUGACCCUCACUGCAGGAGCCACACACUCCUGGACUGUGAUGGGUACCUUUUUCUGUUUCUGGUAAGGAUGACUGUCAGGUAGGAAGGUACAAUAGCAGCCCCCAUUAAUUGAGCCUGCAUGGUGUGCCUGGCACAAUUCUAAGCACUGUUUAAUUCUCCCAACCAGCCCCAUGAAGAAGCUUCUGUAAAUAUCUCAAUUUUUUAGAUAAAGAAAUUGAGUCUUGGUAAAGUCAAGAAACUUCCUUAAGGUCAUGUGGUCAGUGGUGGAGCCUGGAUGUAAACCCAGCUCUUCUGGAUCCUGUACUCAUCUUCUUAACGUGCCUUCUCCUCAGCCACCCUGAACUCCCCUGGACAACUUGAUGCAGAUGACCUUGUGUCAAGUCCAGGCACAUAAGGAGCUCCCCAUCAUCUUGUCCCUCACUCACAAUCCAGUGGUCACUGCACUGCUAUUGAUGGGAGCUUGUGGCUGGAGCUGGAACCUGUCUCUCCUGGUUGCUUCAGUUCCUCAUCUAUAUCUCAUUGCCCAUACUAGCAGAGGUCUUUUUUAACUGGGAAGGGAUUGCAAAAGCUCCUUGAAUUGACCUGGCUCUGGGUUCUUUCUCUGGGGCUCAGAGUAGCCCUCGGAGAGACAUCAUUUAUCCCUGUUGGUCCAGUCUUUGCAAAAUUGCCACGUUCUCUAAGCUUUCCUUCUCCCAAUAUCCCAAUUCACAUCUGUUGUCCAUUUUUUACUUAUGGAUGUUUAAGCAGCAUUGAGAAAAGAUUUGGGGCUAUAUUUCUAAUAUUCUUUAAAUCAUGAUGCAUACUUAAUAAAAAUUCACUCUUAUUA
rnacentral:lncRNA from 1 species